rnacentral:rRNA from 1 species
AGAGCGAACGCUGGCGGCAGGCUUAACACAUGCAAGUCGAACGGACCCUUCGGGGUUAGUGGCGGACGGGUGAGUAACACGUGGGAACGUGCCUUUUGGUUCGGAACAACUCAGGGAAACUUGAGCUAAUACCGGAUGUGCCCUUCGGGGGAAAGAUUUAUCGCCAUUAGAGCGGCCCGCGUCUGAUUAGCUAGUUGGUGAGGUAAAGGCUCACCAAGGCGACGAUCAGUAGCUGGUCUGAGAGGAUGACCAGCCACAUUGGGACUGAGACACGGCCCAAACUCCUACGGGAGGCAGCAGUGGGGAAUCUUGCGCAAUGGGCGAAAGCCUGACGCAGCCAUGCCGCGUGAAUGAUGAAGGUCUUAGGAUUGUAAAAUUCUUUCAGCGGGGAAGAUAAUGACUGUACCCGCAGAAGAAGCUCCGGCUAACUUCGUGCCAGCAGCCGC